GAUGAACGCUGGCGGCGUGCUUAACACAUGCAAGUCGAACGAUGAAGCCCAGCUUGCUGGGUGGAUUAGUGGCGAACGGGUGAGUAACACGUGAGCAACCUGCCCCUGACUCUGGGAUAAGCGCUGGAAACGGCGUCUAAUACUGGAUAUGUCCCGUCACCGCAUGGUGUGCGGGUGGAAAGAUUUUUCGGUUGGGGAUGGGCUCGCGGCCUAUCAGCUUGUUGGUGAGGUAAUGGCUCACCAAGGCGUCGACGGGUAGCCGGCCUGAGAGGGUGCACGGCCACACUGGGACUGAGACACGGCCCAGACUCCUACGGGAGGCAGCAGUGGGGAAUAUUGCACAAUGGGCGAAAGCCUGAUGCAGCAACGCCGCGUGAGGGAUGACGGCCUUCGGGUUGUAAACCUCUUUUAGCAGGGAAGAAGCGAAAGUGACGGUACCUGCAGAAAAAGCACCGGCUAACUACGUGCCAGCAGCCGCAGUAACAC
rnacentral:rRNA from 1 species